CAAGUCGAGCGGGAUUUUUUCCUGUAGCAAUACAGGGAAAAGUCUAGCGGCGAACGGGUGCUUAACACGUGGGCAAUCUGCCGAGAAGUGGGGGAUAGCUCGCCGAAAGGCGAAUUAAUACCGCAUGUGAUCAGAGUGGACAUCCAUUCAAAAUCAAAGUCGGGGCAACCUGACGCUUCUUGAGGAGCCCGCGGCCUAUCAGCUAGUUGGUGAGGUAACGGCCCACCAAGGCUUAGACGGGUAGCUGGUCUGAGAGGACGACCAGCCACACUGGGACUGAGACACGGCCCAGACGCCUACGGGUGGCAGCAGUCGAGAAUUUUUCUCAAUGGGGGAAACCCUGAAGGAGCGACGCCGCGUGGAGGAUGAAGGUCUUCGGAUUGUAAACUCCUGUCAUUGGGGAACAAUGCGUAAAUAUUAACUGUAUUUGCGUUGAUAGUACCCGAAGAGGAAGGGACGGCUAACUCUGUGCCAGCAGCCGCGGUAAUACAGAGGUCCCAAGCGUUGUUCGGAUUCAUUGGGCGUAAAGGGUGCGUAGGCGGCGCGGUAAGUCGGGUGUGAAAUCUCGGAGCUUAACUCCGAAACUGCAUUCGAUACUGCCGUGCUUGAGGACUGGAGAGGAGACUGGAAUUUACGGUGUANCGGUGAAAUGCGUANAUAUCGUAAGGAAGACCAGUGGCGAAGGCGGGUCUCUGGACAGUUCCUGACGCUGAGGCACGAAGGCCAGGGGAGCAAACGGGAUUAGAUACCCCGGUAGUCCUGGCAGUAAACGGUGCACGUUUGGUGUGGGAAGGAUU
rnacentral:rRNA from 1 species